AUGUAUAUGUCGACAAUGGAGGUGGCGAAGCCCCGGCAGGUGGCGCGGAGGUUCCAGGCGCGGCCGCAGCACGAGGGCGCCGGCGCCGUCGUCCGCCGCAGCAUCGGCAGGUUCGAGCUGAGGUAUUUCGAUCCGUUCCUCGUCCUGGACGAGUUCUCAGCUUCUGCGCCGGCCGGGUUCCCUGACCAUCCACACCGGGGCUUCGAGACCGUCACCUACAUGCUCGAGGGGGCGGUGACGCACGAGGACUUCGAGGGCCACCGUGGCACGAUCAAGGCCGGCGACGUGCAGUGGAUGACGGCCGGCCGCGGCAUCGUGCACUCCGAGAUGCCGGCCGGCCCCGGCACCUCCAAGGGCCUCCAGCUCUGGGUCAACCUCGCCUCCAAGAACAAAAUGGUCGAGCCCGGGUACCAGGAGUUCCAGAGCAAGGACAUCGCGUCCACCACGUCGGCGGACGGCGACGUGACGGUGCGCGUCAUCGCGGGGGAGGCCAUGGGCGCCCGGUCGCCGGUGCGCACGCGGACGCCGACCAUGUACCUCGACUUCACGGUGCGCCCGCACGCCACCGCGCCCGUGCGGCAGCCGGUGCCGGCCUCGUGGAACGCCUUCGUGUACGUGCUCGAGGGCGAGGGCGUGUUCGGGCCGAUGACAGACCAGAAGCAGCAGGCGGCGCAGCCGGCGGGGGCGCACCACCUGCUGUUGUUGGGGCAGGACGGCGACGGCGUGGAGGUUUGGAACAGGUCGGACAAGCCGCUCCGGUUCGUGCUCGUGGCCGGCGAGCCCAUCGGCGAGCCCGUGGCGCAGCUGGGCCCGUUCGUGAUGAACACCGAGGAGGAGAUCGACGCCACCGUCAACGACUUCGAGUACUUCAUCAACGGGUUCGAGAAGGCCAAGCAUUGGAAGUCGCAGGCCAUGAUCGCGCUAGAGCUAGAAUACGUAGGGUGA
rnacentral:rRNA from 1 species